rnacentral:lncRNA from 1 species
AAAUUACUUGCCUAAUGAUAGGCAUUGCGCAUAAAGGGCAAUCAGACUACUUAACAGUUUCGAUGGGUUCAUGCAUGGCCUGGAGCUCUAGUUCUUCUAAAAUACAGGUGCUUAUUGUCUACUGUGUAUUAUAUUUAAUGCAUUAGGCAGAUCCAUCCAUCUUGGUAAUCUUCCUCUCCUUUCUUCUUGUCUACCUGCUUCUUUUUUUUGAAGUUCUUGAUUUGUUGGUAGUUUUCCUCUCACCAAGAGAUUUGUCAAGUUCUGUUCCAGCUCAACCAAACACUAAUAUGCCAGAUAUUGCAACUUAAUUUUCGCUGUUUAGAGUUUUGCUUUUUAUUUGCUGAUGUGUCUGCUAAUUAAAGUUAUUUUUAGCAUUUCACAGGAGCUCAACACACUUUGGUAAAGAAGAACACUAAUCAUGAAUUGAACAAAGAUUUUAUACUCUGCACUUUGUACUAGAUUGGUAUGCAUUCACCUCCAUAACAUAUCUCGCUUUCCUUAAUUUAUUUUUUGUGUUGUUUUGCCCUUGUCCUUUCUGAACUAAACUAAUUUUGAUGGAUGUGACAAAUAUUAGAAUAAUUUACGAUGCUUAGAGCUUAUUUAGUUGCCUUUGUGCCUGGGACAGAAAAAAUAGGAGUUGUAUGCAAGUUCCUUCGUGUAAGUCAUCGAGAGCCCAAGCUUAACAAAUUUGCCAGUUUGUUUUAGUGCUCUUUAUAGUCACUAUUUUAAUUCAAGGAGCUGGGCAUGUAAAACAUUAGACAAAGCUUUUAGGUGUGGAGACAAAUUGGAUCCAAUCGAAGAGGAUAUGGCAUCUCAGAGCAGGUCCCAAGUGGUACAAGAAAAUGGAUAACAUGAGAGAGAGCAAGGUACCCCGGCAGUAAGAUGGUGAUGCCUAUUCAUCUAGUCACUCAAAAUACUUAUUGUUUUGAUAGAUAUGCAUAUCUCAUGUGUUUGGUUUGACAUUUUGAAUUUUCCAUUGCUUUACAACAAAAGAUAAAUUGUACCUAAUUGUUCUAUUUUUUUCAUCCUAUUUACCAGAUCCGUCCAUCCCACCUUGCUUCUCAAAGGUUUGUCAGCUGCUGGAAUUUUUGAAGCUCGGCUCAACCUAAAGUGGUAUGCUUACAUUUCUUCUACCAAUACUCCAGUCUUUUUUCUUGUUUUUUAUCAUUUAUGCAUUAUAAAAGUUACUGAAUAUUUGUGUGCUUAAUUACCUGUAAAUAAGUUUCACAUGUGCUAAGAGAUUGGAGCUUUGAAAUAUCAGGUUUCGUUUAGGAGUUUGGGACUGCCUAUAAUUUUAAUACUCCAGUUUUUUUUUAAAAAGUGACCCCUGGUGGGAAAGGUCAAUAUUAUAUUGAUAAAGAAGUUAGACCCUGAAAACUUCAUAUGGAAAAGCUGCAAGAUUUAUGUAUAUUGCAUAAUGUAUUCAGCCACUACCACCGAAUUAAAAUGGUUUGAAUGUUGUCUCAUAUGUUGAACUUUGUGUUGUAAGAAGCAUUUUAGGAUUCCUCUGAUUACGUUCUAGAUACAAACUGCAACUUUAGGUUUCCUGAAAUAAUAUCUGAAGUUUGCUUCGAUCUAUCAGCUUGUCAAGUUCGUGACCCUGGUGUCAGUAGUCUAUGGGUGAGUUGGCUGAUUUAUGAUAUGUAAGCAGUAGCCUUUGAUGUAGUACAACAGUGCUUAAGGGGCUCAUAGUUUUGGACUUUUUGUAAGCCGAGUAACACAAAUUCAUUUUGCUUAUAGACUAUUGGUUUUUAUUUAGAACUUUCUUGCAUUAUCUUUCUAGCUAUAGCACCACCUACAUAUAAUUACACAAGUACUUUUAUAUUUGCUCCCAUGUCUGUCACAGGGUAACAACAUGUAUGGUGAAAUCCUAGGUCCUGAUGUGAGAACCAACAGUGCACUCAUACAGGGGAUGACAUCUACAUUAUCAGUAGUUCAGAGUUUGAAAUGCAAAAUCGGGUUAUAGACCUGUUGACUCCCGCUAUAUGGUUCAAUUUAUAGGUUGCACACAAUGGUCUCUGCUGUCUCGGUGUGGGACUAUUUCAUGUAAAAUAUAUAAGUAGCAUUUGGACACCCCCUAUGUCUCAUAAUAUAUAUAUAGGGUAUGCACAUCUUGCAGGUAUUAAAAGUUCAGCUUCAGAUUUAGCACGCAUGUUGUCGUGUUGUUCGGCCUAACUGUAGUCUGGGUGGUGGAAACAAAAACCUCCUGUGAUAUUUUCAGUUUGUAUGAAAUAAUUAUUUCAUUCCCAGAUAGAACAUGUCAUAUUCAUUCUUUGUUAAUAUUAUUGAAUUUACCGGAUAGAGGUGUGGCCAUGACUCGCGCGCCCUAAAGCUGUGGCCAUGACUCCGCGCGCAUGGGCACGCGCAAAUCACUAGUAUUUAUUAUGUUGUGAUGUGUUUCUUAUUUGUAG